rnacentral:lncRNA from 1 species
ACCAAGCUGGCCCGCUGGCCGCGCCUAGCCUGCCCAGGGCGCCCGCGGACCCGGAGUAGGCGUGGGGCCGGUGAAGCGGGAACCGGGGGAAGGCGGUCCCGGCCCCGGGCUAGGGACGCAGUUCGGGCCAUACAGGCGGGUCCCUAGGGCCGAGGGAGCCGGUCCCUACCCCCAGGGAGCGGACAAAGACGGCCCCUGCUCCCCAGCCCCUUCCAGCCGCCCCCGCCUUUUGUAUCCCCUUACGUCGCCGAAGCUUCGAGCUUUCCCCUCCACCAGGGAGGUCCUCCGCAGGGCCCAACGAAUGCACCUUUUUUUCCUGGAGAGGUCUCAUAGUACCGAUCCUUAUCUGGUCCCCACCCUGCCACUGGGAGGGGAAGGCGCGGGGGUCACGCCCUGCCCCUGGAAAGCUGACAAUCGUUUGUCGUUUGGCGGGAGGGGGAAGGCCUGGCUGGCAUACGGAAAGGAAGCAGAGUGACCUGACCCUUAGCAUCCUUAGGCCUUUCAGCUGCCCGCUGCGGCCUCCCCCAGCCCCGCACGGCUACCCUUCCCGCCGAGCCUCCUCCGAGGCUCGAGCUAGGGGCUAGAGGCUGGACCUUUUCCUUGGAAGCCGCUUCUCCCCUACCCUGCUGACAGGUCCUUACAGGUGAGCACGAAACACUUUAGAAGACGCCUCCUCCAGAGCCUCUGGUGGGGAAAGUGGACAGAUGAAAGUUUGAACUUCCCGAGGUUAGCACCCCUAGUCCCUUAGAGAGGAUUACAGGAGGGGUUUGAUGGCAGAUGCUGGUCGAGGGCUGUCUCCAGCUCAGUUCUACCCUAGAACGCUGACCUAGGUGUUUAGACUCCAGGUGCAGCCAGAGAUGAGCUGCCUGGUUAGGCUUAUGGAGGUGUUAGAAACUGCCUUCAGGAGGGAGCUGGGAACCUGAAAGCUGUCCUGGGGGUUUUCCUAGUCCUGUUUAUUGGUGCUAUUUUUGCCCAGCUUCCUAAUGAGCUGGCUGCACCCAGAGGCAGGAAGAAGGGCCCAGCUUCUUGGAAGCGGCAGCAAUUGACAGAGGCUAGAGUUUGCUAGAGAUUAGUUGUGAGGCACCACACGGUGGAAACACAGGUGAGGCUCCAGCCUGGCCUUUUCCAGGAAUGCCCCCAAUCCUAUCAGACCCGACAGUGAUGGGGUACUCAGUACCCUCUGUUUAGGUUGGGGAGUGACAAACUGGAAAUACUGCCCCACCGCCUAAUGUGUUUCCCCCUCACCCCCCGCCCCCAACUAAAAGCAGGAAGUGCAGCUCCAGUCUGGCUCAUUGCUCCCACCCUAGUCCAGCCUAGAAAGACAAACCCCUGGGACCCUGUCCUCUCAUGCCAUCCUCCUCUGUUGGUCUUGCAUCAAGUCCUAAGUGCCUGUGAGGUCUUCCAGGGGCUGCUGAGGGAGGACAUGGGGCAGGGAGAGGCCUUUGCCUCACUCCCAAGCAUCCCGUCCUGGCAGGUCCUGACCUGGCUGGGGCCAAGCCUUCAGUUUGUCACCCAGGAAUCCGGGAGGUUUCUAGGGGUAAUAAACCCUUUCCCCAUCGUGGCUCCAUGAAGAAGUGGCGGGGAAAGGUCCCCAGUUAUACCCUCUUUCACUGUAUAUAUUGGAGCAGGAAACCAGUGAGCCUACUCCCACCCCCAACAGACAUGCAGGCCUGGGAGUUCCCUUGUAGUGCAGCAGGUGAAGGAUCCAGCACUGGCACUGCAGCCCCCCCGCCCUCCGGUUGAAUUCCUGGCGGGGGGAACUUCCACAGGUUGUGGGUGUGGCCGAAAACAAACAAACAAAAACAUGCGGGGUCCCUCCCAGCUCAGGACUGCUGAGAUCUCGGAGAAAUACCAGGCCUGGUUUAGGUGUCCGCCACUGGGGCACCUUUGGUUUUGUUCUUUUUUUUUUUUUUUCCCUGUCUUUUUUUUUUUUUGGUCUUUUUGCCAUUUCUAGGGCCGCUUCACAGCAUAUGGAGGUUCCCAGGCUAAGGGUCGAAUCGGAGCUGUAGCCUCUGGCCUACACCAGAGCCACAGCAACGCAGGAUCCGAGCCGCGUCUGCAACCUACACCACAGUUCACGGCAACGCCGGAUCCUUAACCCACUAAGCAAGGCCAGGGAUCGAACCCGCAACCUUAUGGUUCGUAGUCGGAUUCAUUAAGCCCUGAGCCACGACGGGAACUCCUCCCCCUGUCUUUUUAGGCCUGGGCCAGUGACAUAUGGAAGUUCCCAGGCUAGGGGUUGAAUUGGAGCUGCAGCUGCCAGCGUACACCACAGCCGCAACAGCAGAUCUGAGCUGCCUCCAAGACCUAUGCUACAGCCUGUGGUAACACCAGAUUCCCAAUCCACUGAGUGAGGCCAGGGAUUGAACCCACAUCCUCAUGGAUACUCGUAGGGUUUUUAACCCGCUGAGCCACAACGGGAACUCCUGGGGCACCCCAGGGACAGACAGUGCUGCCGGUCUAACUUGGGCCCCAGCAAUGGCCUAGGGUCCUUGCUCUGCCUGCUCCCACCUCUUACACGCACACCCCCAGUCUCUGUGGAUGUGCCUCUGCCCUCUGACUCCCCACUGUACCCCUCCACCUGUUGCUCCCCUUUUCAGAAUGUGUCUGAGUGAGGAGGCCUCUCUCUGCUCUUGGCUGCACUCACUUGAAGGGGCCCAGAGGACUGGAAGGAGGGAAAGGGGGUCUUUCUGGAGGCGCCCAUCCAAACUCUCAUCUUCCACAACCAUACUUUUGGGGUGAACAGGGUGACUUUGUUGCAUCCGUUCUUCUACAGAGAUGGUGAAGUCCUUUACCCACCCACUCACCCGGUAAAAGCCAUAGCUACACCCGUCUGGCCUCCCCCCAGUGCUAUAGCAAUAGCCCUCUUCCUCCUCCCCUCCUGGGUACCCAAGGUGUCUGGCGGGGGGCCUCCACCCACACCCUACCCCACAGAUCCUCCGGUGGCCUGCCUGCCUCUCCCCAUCUGACCCCAUCGACACCUCCCACCUCCUGUCCCUCUCCCAGCCAUCAGAGAUAAUGGCGCUGAAUUGUUUGCGGGGUGCCUUGGAGAUGCCCCAGAUGAAAGGCCCUGAGUGCUGGGGCGGCUGACUCGCUGACUCUCAGCUGAGGUGUCAGGGUGCCUGGGAAAGGAAAGAAAGCAACCAACCCUUCCCCCCUCCACUCAGCAAGCUGGGGACGGGGCCAAGGAAAAUACAGGGUUCCAAUGAUAACAAAUCCCCCUUCCCCGUCCCUGUCCUGGACACAGUGGACAAGAGGCUUCCCUCCUCGCCCUGCCCCUGGGUUUGGAACAGAACCCUUGAGACAGCAGAAUAGGACUGGGAGUCAGUGACCUGCCCUUGGCCUCAGUGAUCCAAAAACUUCUCAGUCUGGCUCUCCCCCUCUCCUAUGCUGGGGGACCCACGCUGCCAAAGGAAAGACCCCCUCCCUUGAGCCCCUGAAAUGUUUGGGUAACUAGAAGGGAAAGGAUUGUUUCCUUCCCUCCCCUUGCCUCUCAUCGUGCCCCUCUUCUCCAGGGCACAAAUCCCCAUUGGGAGAGGGGCCUGUUGACAUGGACACUCAGGGGCCCUACCUGGAGCCAGGAGCUGCAGAUGGGGGCCCCUUCCCUGUUCUGGAAGCCAGCCAGGGACCUGUGGGCAAUGCAGCAUGAGGCUUUGUACCCCUGCCCCCCAUAUCGCACCCACAGUGGCCUGCAGUUUGGGGAACCAGUCCAGGGCUGAGAUGGGGUAGCCCUUCCCCAAACAAGCAGCAGACGAGAGGCCUCCCCUGUGAAGAGGAGGGGGGCCCAGAGGGCAUGGAGCAGCAUCUCCUCGUCGUGGAGAGCCGGGAUCUCGAAGCACCGUCUCCCUGAGGUGCCAACCUGGAGUGGGGACGUGCACGGCUUCAGAACCCCCUGGCAGGACCCCCAUGGACACGGCAGAGGGAUCCUGCUCCAAGUUCUCUGUUGGCUGCGCUUUUUAAUCCAAUGCUUUUCAGAGUGUAUCCACUCACCCACAGAAAUAGAGCCCUGUGCUUUAGGGGUGACUGUCAUAUGCCUUAUUCUUAAUAAAAUAUCUGAAAAACGC